rnacentral:rRNA from 1 species
UACGAAGGGGCCUAGCGUUGCUCGGAAUUACUGGGCGUAAAGCGCACGUAGGCGGUCUUUUAAGUCGGGGGUGAAAUCCUGGAGCUCAACUCCAGAACUGCCUUCGAUACUGGAAGACUUGAGUCCGGGAGAGGUGAGUGGAACUGCGAGUGUAGAGGUGAAAUUCGUAGAUAUUCGCAAGAACACCAGUGUCGAAGGCGGCUCACUGGCCCGGUACUGACGCUGAGGUGCGAAAGCGUGGGGAGCAAACAGG